CCAGCACAACGUUUUGGAGCUGGGACUGGUGUUGGCCAAGCAAAGUAUUCAUAGUCAUAAUGGAUUGUUUAUUAUUUCAUAAACAUCCAUCUGUGUAGACUCAAUCUAAGGUAGAAAGAGAGUGGUUGUUAACCUAACCUAGCUACUGCCUCGUUUGAAAAACUGCUUGAGGAACUAAACCAGAAACCUGGCACCUUUGGCUAUAAACAUUGAGAACAGUGGCUCUGGACAGUGACAGAGCCACACUCAACCACGGCAGGCACAUUGUUUUGUCUAAUGGCCUACAUUGGGUCUGCGUCGAUGUGCUGGUAACUGGCAGCAUGAGUUUGUGAUCUCAGGAUCUGUGGACCGUUGUUUGCUGCUUUGCGCGAAAGAUCACACCAUGACACAUUCAGAGGUGCGUUAAGCUGUCUAACACCUUCUGUACUGUCCCUGCACUGUAUAAGACUGUAGAACGGCUCUUACUGUAAAUAUGCAGCAUUCACUUCAACGUGUUCUUUGUUCCAUAAGGAGGAACAUAACCAUUGCAUAAAAUGUUGGAAAUAUUUGUGUGAAAAUGUUCUCCCUCUCAGAAACUAUUGUAAAAAUGAAAUCACCAAGCUUUGAUUUAAACUCUUUUCCCCAUGAAAUGAUGUUUUAUUCAUGUGCUUUUCCAAACUAA